rnacentral:lncRNA from 1 species
GCGAGAAUCAACAUAAGGGCAUGUUUGGUUCAUCUAUUUUAGACUAUGGAAUCGGAAUGGAAUUAUUGAUUUCGAUAGUUGCUGUUUGUUUUAUAGGAAUCAGAUUCCGAUUCCCAUUCCACUCCGAAAUGGAAAUGGCCAAAUCCAUUUAUAAUCCAAUCCGACUUUGAAUUCCGGAUUGGCUCAUUCCAAAGUAAACUAUUCAAAAUCCUCUUUUAUCAACACCUACCUCCUCUUCCUUCAUCACUUUUCUCUCUUUUAAUCAAAACCCUCUUUAAAAAAUUUUAAAUUUUCAUUCCGAUUUUCAUUCUAAUAAUGAACCAAAUAUUUUUGGAUGAUUCGUCAUUCUAUUUUUCAUUUAAAAACAAUCUAAUUUUAUUUUUCAUUUUUAUUUCAAUCAUGAACCAAACAUGGCCUAAUAUAGAAAGAAGCUCUCUACAUAUUCAGUGGGGCUUUUUUUGCAAAUAGGUCCCUGACAAAUUUUUUUUUUUAAAUUGGCCCUGUCAAAAAUUUAUUUGCAAAAAUAGCCCUGGCCCCGCCACGCAAGUGCCAUGUCAGCGCCACGCGAGCGGAGUUGGGCUAGGUGUUUAAGUUGAACACGGUGAACCAUUCACCGUGUUCAAUACAAGAUUUUUGUAGUGCGAGAUAUUUGUAUUGGACACGGCGUGUCCAAUACAGAAACCUUGUAUUGAACACGGUGAAUGAUUCACCGUGUUCAAUUUAAACACCUGGCCCAAUCCCGCCCGCGUGGCGCUGACGUGGCGCUUGCGUGGCCGGGCCAGUGCCAUUUUUGCAAAUAAAUUUUUGACAGGGCCAAUUUAAAAAAAAAAAUUGUCAGGGGGCUAUUUGCAAAAAA